rnacentral:lncRNA from 1 species
UGAUUAGAAAUUUUCUUACUUAUUUUAUUAAUUAUUGGGAAAACUUAAAAUACCAUAUUUGUGAUUUUGCACUUUUUUAUUUCAGUAUCCCGUGGUUUAAAGUGUAUUAAUUUAGUACCUUGUUGUUUUAUUUUUCUCUUUUUAUUAUCUCUCUACUAAUUUUUUUAUUAAAUCAAUGACAAAUUUAAAACUAAAAAGCAUUAAAAUAAAUAUUCGAUAAACCUAUAUGAGAUAUCUGAAAUUUUUUUGCAUAUAAUUUAACGAAAUGUUAAUGAAGAAGCUGACGAAAAAAAAAAAAUAAUAGAAUAAUAAAUUGAUACAUUUUAAAUUAUAAAGUGCUAAAGUGAAAAAAGUAUAAACCACACGAAAGAUAUUUAAAGUUUACUUUUAAUUAUUUAAGUAAAAAUUUAAUAUAAUAUUUUUAAGCUCUUCAUUGUUAGCUUCAUAAGAUGUAAAGUACAUGUACCAUAUUUUUCUUAAAAAAACAGUCAUCCGUACAUUUUGCCAUUUAUUACCGACCGUAUGGUUUGUUUGUGGACUGUAGACGGGGUGGGGAAAGGGUGGAAGUGUUGUACUUGCAAUAUAUAUAUAUAUAUAUAUAUAUAUAGAGAGAGAGAGAGAGAGAGAGAGAGAGAGAGAGAGAGUUGAGGUAGAAUACUUUCAAAAGUAUCAAGAAGAUGAUACUUUUGAGUUUUUAGUAUUUGGAUUGAGUGAUGUAAGGUUGGGAUAAUGAUAGUAAGUGGUAGAUUGUGGUAGGUGGAAUAAUGUUUGAUCUAAUGGAUAUUAGUAAGCAAAGAGUAGAUGACUAGAAACCUAGAAGCACCAAGAGAUCGGUGCUUCUAAAAGUAUCAUAGCUCAAUUUUAUAUAUAGAGAGAGAGAGAGAGAGAGUGUUGAGGUAGAAUACUUUCAAAAGUAUCAAGAAGAUGAUGCUUUUAAGUUUUUAGUAUUUGGAUGGAGAGAUGUAGGAUUGGAAUUAUGAUGGUAGGUGGAGGUUGUGGUAAGUGGAAUAAUAUUUGAUCCAAUGGGUAUUAGUAAGCAAGGAGUAGAUCCAAGAACUAGAUGAUGUGAACCUCCUAGGGUUGAGUGGGUGGUUGGUUGAAUAGUAUGAUUUAACGGAUGAAAAUGAUGAAAAGAAUAGAUUCAACGGCGGAAAAUUUGGUAGCACCAAAUACUUCUUACUAUUAAUAACAUAGUAGUCAGACUAUAUAUAUAUAUAUAUAUAUAUAUA